rnacentral:rRNA from 1 species
GGGGUUAAUUGAAAAUUGCCUUGAUGGGUUGUCGCUGGCCUUUCGGGGCAUGUGCACGCCUGUCUUGACUUCUAUUCAUCCACCUGUGCACCCAUUGUAGUUCUUUUCAAUUUCUGAGGGUCGAGGAAGCGGCGUUCUACUCGGUGGCAAAACCGGAUUUGAAGACUGCCCUUUGAGGAUUUUCUCUGUAGUCGGGGAAUCUGGCCUUUGGUCUGAGAAAAGGGCUAUGUCUUUAUCAUAAACCGUGUAUGAUGUUGCCAUAAUGUAUUCAAUGGGCCUUCGUGCCUAUAUAAACCUUAUACAACUUUCAUCAACGGAUCUCUUGGCUCUCGCAUCGAUGAACAACGGACCCAAAUGCGAUAAAUAAUGUGAAUUGCAUAAUUCAAUGAAUCAUCAAAUCUUUGAACGCACCUUGCGCUCCUUGGUAUUCCCAGGAUCAUGCCUGUUUGAUUGUCAGUAAAUUCUCAGCUCCUCCAGUUUUUGUGACUGCAAACGGACCUUGUACGUGAAGGUCUUGCGGGCCCUGUUUCAAUGGGUCGGCUCCCCUGAAAUGCAUUAGCGGAACCCUUUGCAAUCCCUCACAGGUGUGAUAAUGAUCUACGCCAGUGGGGCGCUCUCUGUCUCGUUCAGCUGCCCACCCUCCGCCAGGACAAACUCUUACUGAACCUUUGACCUCAAAUCAUGUAGGACUAUCCGCUGAACUUAAGGAUAUCCAUAACCGGAGAAUUAAGAAUAU